rnacentral:rRNA from 1 species
GAUGAACGCUGGCGGCGUGCCUAAUACAUGCAAGUCGAGCGAACAGACGAGGAGCUUGCUCCUCUGACGUUAGCGGCGGACGGGUGAGUAACACGUGGAUAACCUACCUAUAAGACUGGUAUAACUUCGGGAAACCGGCGCUAAUACCGGAUAAUAUAUUGAACCGCAUGGUUCAAUAGUGAAAGACGGUUUUGCUGUCACUAAUAGAUGGAUCCGCGCCGCAUUAGCUAGUUGGUAAGGUAACGGCUUACCAAGGCAACGAUGCGUAGCCGACCUGAGAGGGUGAUCGGCCAUACUGGAACUGAGACACGGUCCAGACUCCUACGGGAGGCAGCAGUAGGGAAUCUUGCGCAAUGGGCGAAAGCCUGACGGAGCAACGCCGCGUGAGUGAUGAAGGUCUUCGGAUCGUAAAACUCUGUUAUUAGGGAAGAACAAAUGUGUAAGUAACUAUGCCCGUAUUGACGGUACCUAAUCAGAAAGCCACGGCUAACUACGUG